rnacentral:rRNA from 1 species
AAAGCUUAAGCCAUGCAAGUCUCAGUACAAACUUUUUAUGAAGUGAAACCGCAAAAGGCUCAGUAAACCAGUUUUAAUUUACUAGAGUAAACAUGACUGACGUGGAUAACUGUGGUAAUUCUAGAGCUAAUACAUGCAACACAAUCCUGACCAUUCACUGGGAAGGAUGCAUUUUAUUGGACCAAGACCAAUCGCUUGAGCUUUCGGGCUCAGGCGUUGACUUGAUGACUCUAGAUAACACUUCAGAUCGUAUGGUCUCCGAGCUGGCGACCUAUCUUUCAAAUGCCUGACUUAUCAACUCCUGAGAAACGGCUACCACAUCCAAGGAAGGCAGCAGGCACGCAAAUUACCCACUCCCGGCACGGGGAGGUAGUGACAAAAAAUAACGAUGCGGGACUCUUUUGAGGCCCCGUAAUCGGAAUGAGUACACUUUAAAUCCUUUAACGAUAAUCAAUUAGAGGGCAAGUCUGGUGCCAGCAGCCGCGGUAAUUCCAGCUCUAAUAGCGUAUAUUAAAGUUGUUGCGGUUAAAAAGCUCGUAGUUGGUUCUGCGUGCCACGCUGUCGGUUCGCCGCCUGACGGUGUAACUGGCAUGUCGUGGCAUGUCCUGUCGGUGGCGAACUAGGGUCACACUCGUUUUCCCCGCUUGGGCUCGCCUCGGGCGUGUGGAGCGGUGUGGUCACUCGGUUCGCCGGCUCUAUCCUGCCGCGGUGCUUUUAACCAAGUGUCGAGGUAGGCCGACACGUUUACUUUGAACAAAUUAGAGUGCUCAAAGCAGGCUUAAAUCUCUGCCUGAAUAGUGGUGCAUGGAAUAAUGGAACAGGACCUUGGUUCUAUUCUGUUGGUCUCCGGAACACAAGGUAAUGAUCAAUGUGGACAGGCGGGGGCAUUCGUAUUGCGACGUUAGAGGUGAAAUUCUUGGAUCGUCGCAAGACGCACUAGAGCGAAAGCAUUUGCCAAGUAUGUCUUAAUUGAUCAAGAACGAAAGUUAGAGGUUCGAAGGCGAUCAGAUACCGCCCUAGUUCUAACCAUAAACGAUGCCAGCCAGCGAUCCGCCGACGUUCCUCCGAUGACUCGGCGGGGAGCUUCUUCCCGGGAAACCAAAGCUUUUGGGUUCCGGGGGAAGUAUGGUUGCAAAGCUGAAACGUCGAUGGUAGACUCUAUGUCUACCAUGGCUCUUACGGGUAACGGGGAAUCAGGGUUCGAUUCCGGAGAGGGAGUUAAAGGAAUUGACGGAAGGGCACCACCAGGAGUGGAGCCUGCGGCUUAAUUUGACUCAACACGGGAAACCUCACCAGGUCAGGACAUUGGAAGGAUUGACAGAUUGAUAGCUCUUUCUUGAUUCAGUGGUUAGUGGUGCAUGGCCGUUCUUAGUUGGUGGAUCGAUUUGUCUGGUUAAUUCCGAUAACGAACGAGACUCUAGCCUAUUAACUAGGCGUUUCCGGUAUCGACGCUACCGGCGAUACUUAUUCUUCUUAAGGGGACAGGCGGCUUCCAGCCGCACGAAAUUGAGCAAUAACAGGUCUGUGAUGCCCUUAGAUGUCCUGGGCCGCACGCGCGCUACACUGAAAGAAUCAGCGUGUGCCUCCCUGGUCCGAUAGGAUCGGGCAACCCGCUGAACCUCUUUCGUGCUAGGAAUUGGGGCUUGCAAUUGUUCCCCAUGAACGAGGAAUUCCCAGUAAGCGCGAGUCAUAAGCUCGCGUUGAUUACGUCCCUGCCCUUUGUACACACCGCCCGUCGCUACUACCGAUUGAAUGAUUUAGUGAGGUCUUCGGACCGACGGUAAGCGAUACCGCCUCCAUACGGUAUCGAUGUACGUUGGGAAGAUGACCAAACUUGAUCAUUUAGAGGAAGUAAAAGUCGUAACAAGGUUUCC